GAUGAACGCUAGCGGCAGGCUUAACACAUGCAAGUCGAGGGGUAGAAGCUUAGCUUGCUGCUUUGAGACCGGCGCACGGGUGCGUAACGCGUAUGCAAUCUACCUUUUACAGAGGGAUAGCCCAGAGAAAUUUGGAUUAAUACCUCAUAGUAUGUGAGAAUCGCAUGGUUUUCACAUUAAAGUUCCAACGGUAAAAGAUGAGCAUGCGUCCCAUUAGCUAGAUGGUAAGGUAACGGCUUACCAUGGCGACGAUGGGUAGGGGUCCUGAGAGGGAGAUCCCCCACACUGGUACUGAGACACGGACCAGACUCCUACGGGAGGCAGCAGUGAGGAAUAUUGGACAAUGGGCGCAAGCCUGAUCCAGCCAUGCCGCGUGCAGGAAGAAGCAUCUAUGGUGUGUAAACUGCUUUUUANACAGGAAGAAACAACUCUACGUGUAGAGUCUUGACGGUACUGUAAGAAUAAGGACCGGCUAACUCCGUG
rnacentral:rRNA from 1 species